rnacentral:rRNA from 1 species
AUACGGAGGGUCCAAGCGUUAUCCGGAAUCAUCGGGUUUAAAGGGUCCGUAGGCGGGCAAUUAAGUCAGAGGUGAAAUCCCACAGCUCAACUGUGGAACUGCCUUUGAUACUGGUUGUCUUGAAUUAUAGUGAAGUAGAUAGAAUAUGUAGUGUAGCGGUGAAAUGCUUAGAUAUUACAUAGAAUACCGAUUGCGAAGGCAGUCUACUAACUGUAUAUUGACGCUGAUGGACGAAAGCGUGGGGAGCGAACAGGAUUAGAAACCCUAGUAGUCC